GACGAACGCUGGCGGCGUGCCUAAUACAUGCAAGUAGAACGCUGAAGAGAGGAGCUUGCUCUUCUUGGAUGAGUUGCGAACGGGUGAGUAACGCGUAGGUAACCUGCCUGGUAGCGGGGGAUAACUAUUGGAAACGAUAGCUAAUACCGCAUAAUAGUAGAUGUUGCAUGACAUUUGCUUAAAAGGUGCAAUUGCAUCACUACCAGAUGGACCUGCGUUGUAUUAGCUAGUUGGUGAGGUAACGGCUCACCAAGGCGACGAUACAUAGCCGACCUGAGAGGGUGAUCGGCCACACUGGGACUGAGGCACGGCCCAGACUCCUACGGGAGGCAGCAGUAGGGAAUCUUCGGCAAUGGACGGAAGUCUGACCGAGCAACGCCGCGUGAGUGAAGAAGGUUUUCGGAUCGUAAAGCUCUGUUGUAAGAGAAGAACGAGUGUGAGAGUGGAAAGUUCACACUGUGACGGUAUCUUACCAGAAAGGGACGGCUAACUACGUGCCAGCAGCCGCGGUAAUACGUAGGUCCCGAGCGUUGUCCGGAUUUAUUGGGCGUAAAGCGAGCGCAGGCGGUUAGAUAAGUCUGAAGUUAAAGGCUGUGGCUUAACCAUAGUACGCUUUGGAAACUGUUUAACUUGAGUGCAAGAGGGGAGAGUGGAAUUCCAUGUGUAGCGGUGAAAUGCGUAGAUAUAUGGAGGAACACCGGUGGCGAAAGCGGCUCUCUGGCUUGUAACUGACGCUGAGGCUCGAAAGCGUGGGGAGCAAACAGG
rnacentral:rRNA from 1 species